CUCUGCCAUACCACCCAGAACAUGCUGGAUCUCAUCUGAUCUCAGAAGCUCAGCAGGUUCAGGCCUACUCAGCACUUGGAUGGAAAAGAUAACCCCAAAUACUGUCCAGUCACUGAGUUUGGGUCUGGGUUGAGA
rnacentral:rRNA from 1 species